UAUUCACGACAUAAACUUAACGCCGGUCAAUACGAACUACCGUUUAAAAUCUAAAGGUCUUGGCGGUGCCUCACCUACUCAGGGGAACCUGUUCCUUAAUUCGAUAAUCCACGACAAUCUUACCGGCGCUCGAAUCUCAGCUUGUGUACUGCCGUCUUAAGCACACCUAUAAAAGACAGUGUGCAAAAUCAUCAUCCUGAAAACGUCAGGUCAAAGUGCAGCCUAUGCAACGGUGGAGAUGGGUUACACCCUAAACUAAGAUACCAGCCCACGCAUGAAUAUGCGUGGAAAAGGUGGACUUGAGAGUAAUGUCUAAACCAAACAAAAAUGAAAUAGUAUCU
rnacentral:rRNA from 1 species